rnacentral:rRNA from 1 species
GGAGGAUCCGAGCGUUAUCCGGAUUUAUUGGGUUUAAAGGGAGCGUAGAUGGAUGUUUAAGUCAGUUGUGAAAGUUUGCGGCUCAACCGUAAAAUUGCAGUUGAUACUGGAUAUCUUGAGUGCAGUUGAGGCAGGCGGAAUUCGUGUGUAGCGGUGAAAUGCUUAGAUAUCACGAAGAACUCCGAUUGCGAAGGCAGCCUGCUAAGCUGCAACUGACAUUGAGGCUCGAAAGUGUGGGUAUCAAACAGGAUUAGAUACCCUGGUAGUCCACACGGUAAACGAUGAAUACUCGCUGUUUGCGAUAUACAGCAAGCGGCCAAGCGAAAGCGUUAAGUAUUCCACCUGGGGAGUACGCCGGCAACGGUGAAACUCAAAGGA